AAUUAAUUGGUUGCAACAUGAUACACAUUCUUCUGGAUGUUUAGCAAAUAUCACAUUCCGCUUUGAGUCUCUAGCCACGACUCCCGACCAACAUUACGUAGUAUCCUACACAAUGAACAAUAAUCAUUAACCACUACUACAUUUUUAACCAAAUACAACGGGUAAAUCACAACUAAUGCAACAUUUUUUCAAAAGCCGUUGUAAUAGAUGCGCCUAAUGCACCGGUAUAGUCCAAUUUUUCUGAAACGUUGUAAUAGAGUGGCUAAUGCAACGACCUCUGCAACGGCUACCAUCUGAUAAGGCUAAUGCAACGGUUAUGUUAGCUUGUCACACACUCGUACUAAUUGAUCUUAAACCUAGCCCACCCAAACACUUUCCCCAAAUUAUUUCAAAACCCAGUUCCCGAAGAGAGAGAAAAAGAAAAGGAGAGAGAAACCCUAAUUUCCUUUCCCAUUCCUCUAAACCUAAACCCCCAAUUCAAUCUUCUGCAUCGAUUUUUUCUUCUUUAUUGUUUUUUUGAUGGAGUAGAUCUGGUUGGGGAAUAGGGAGCCGAAAGUUCAAGCCUCAUCUCUGGUUGUAUUCGAUGUGGUUGCUUCACGGUCGCUAGGUAGAGAAAGCAUUCAAUGGAGGCAUGUUGGUUUGGAGAUAGAGGAAUUCACAACUAUUACAAAAUGAUGACGGGCUUCACUUGAGUUUUAUGGCAAAUGAUAGUAAAUCUCAAAAAUGUAUGAAGUAUUAUAUCUUGGGCUUAGUUUUUUGGCCUUUUCUCUGUUGGAACUUCCUUUCGUAGCUAAUUUAGUAGCAAUUCAUUUUGUAAACCCACUGAAGGGAAAUGUUAGAUUGUAUGUACAUUUCCAAUCUCAAUGGAAUAUCAUUAUCGUUUUUAAAA